CAGCAUACACAUCAAUCUAUUAUCAAAGAUAUAUAUGAGAAUUGAUGGUGGAAGAUUAAAAUAAUUUGAAGAUUGUGAUAUAAGCAUCAACAACAGAUAUCUGGGUGGUCAUUCUGUCAAGAAAAAAUGACAUUUAUCAAUGAUAUUGAGAUUAUCAGUGUGUAUUUCAAUCAAUAUCUGAAAAUACAACAAUUUCAAUAUCAAGAAUCUGUGUAUUCAGAACUCAUCAGAGAACUGCUUGAUGAUCAAUUGGCAACAGAUGAUUAUGCUAUAGAAUAUCAUACUCAUCAGCAAAGAAAAAGA
rnacentral:sRNA from 2 species